UUUCCGUAGGUGAACCUGCGGAAGGAUCAUUAUUGAAUGAAACACUUCUGGCUUUAUGCUGUUGUGCUGGCCCUUUGGGCAAUGUGCACACGGCUCUGGUCACUUGUUUCUUCUGUUCCACCUGUGCACUGCCUGUAGACACGCUGUGUCUAUGAUAUUUGUUAACACACAACAAUGUUAGUUGGCAUGUUAUAUAUAAUAAUAAAAUAUACAACUUUCAACAACGGAUCUCUUGGCUCUCGCAUCGAUGAAGAACGCGC
rnacentral:misc_RNA from 1 species